GAUUCAGACCAAACAUUUCAUCUCAAACCUCAAAACCAAUUUCGAAAUACAUAUCCCGCGCUCAGUACUCCCUUCUUCUUCCCUCAACUUUCCCUGCGUCUCGCCCGUCGCCGGUGAUUCUCGCCAGUUGUCAUCGCCGCUAGGUCUUGCCCGUUGUCGGUGGUACUCCAGAAAGGGUCUAUUUCCUCGCCUCCUCACCAGUGGUUCCCUGCUCGAUAAACCACCGCAGAAGUUAUUCCCUGCUCGAAAAACCACCGGUGAAGUCAUUUCCUGCUCAAAAAACUAAGCUACUUUGCUCGGCCGGUUCGUGAACCCUGUUCUCCGUCAAUCCUUGCCGCAACAAUUAAAUCUCCAAAAUUUUCGCUUUUUUGGAAGUUCGGUGAUUCCAAGUCCUGUGGUAAAGGUGUUGAUGUAUUGAGAUCAAGGAGACUACUUUGCCACUUGUUGCCUUGGAAAAGAGCUACUUAUUGGAGUCGAAAACCAUUUUCUUCAAGAAAGAGGGGUGCUGUGUAUGUAAGGUCGGGUCGUGGUUUUUCUUUAAGAAGAUCAAAGGUCGUAAGUCUCUCUUGAACCAGUUUAAAAUGGUCCGAGUCCAUGGAAAAGCGUUCAAAGAAGUUUGAAGAUGUUAGUUAUGUAUUUAUUUCAAUGUAAUUUCUACAAAUGAGAUUGUUUUCUUGUGGCUCUUCACUAAUAUAUGGGUGCACCAUACAGCUUGUAAAUAAGUAACUUCAUCCUCACCUGUAGCAUAUUUGGUGGAAAGACAAAGAAAUAACAAGGCUGGUGGGAUAUUAAGAGAAUUGAAUAGAUAAGAAUAGUCUAAGGGCAAAACAAUUUCUAAAAUGUUAGACAGUCAGGAACUUUUAGCUAGUGGCUAAGGGAUGAGCUUGUUCUGAAGAAGAAAUUUGUUUACUACAUUUCCAUUGUUCUCAAUUUGGUCCUAAGAGUUGCUUGGGUGGAAAGUGUCAUGAGGUUUAAAAAAGUUGGCAAUGUUGAAGCCAAAUUUUUAGACUUUUCUUUAGCUUCUCUUGAAGUAAUUCGUCGAGGGCAUUGGAACUUCUAUAGAGUGGAGCAUGAGCACCUAAACAAUGUGGGCAAGUACAGGGCAGUAAAGGCAGUUCCUCUGCCAUUCCAUGAAACUGAUACAGACGGCUAAACUGUUAGCUGAAGUUAUGUACAGAUAUCCCUUGUUCUUUGGUGGGUGGGAGAAAUGCAAAUUUUUAUUUAUAUCUUCCACAGAGCAUAAAAGAGCUGCAUUGAAGAAUCCGGUAAAGGUGAAAAUUCUCGCUCAUUAUGCAUCUGAAGAUAUAUAUUCAUACAACUUGCGAGUCCCACUUCUGUAUAGAAGGUGCACCAUUGAAUUCAAUCUCUAAUGGUUAAUAAUCUCAGUCAACCUGAAGAUUUUUGUUUCAGUAAUAUAUAUUGACAACCUAAAUGUAUGAUGAUUUUUUGUAACAAAGAGACCCGAUUUCUUGCAAUAAAAUUUUGACGCAUUUGGCUGAA